UCGAGAAUCUUCCGCAAUGGGCGAAAGCCUGACGGAGCGACGCCGCGUGUAGGAUGAAGGCCCUCGGGUUGUAAACUACUGUCACGGGUUAUGAAUGUGCAUAUGUUAACAGCGUGUGUAUUGACGUAAGCCCGAAAGGAAGCACCGGCUAACUCUGUGCCAGCAGCCGCGGUAAUACAGAGGGUGCAAACGUUGUUCGGAAUUACUGGGCAUAAAGCGCGCGUAGGCGGCGACGUAAGUGUAGGGUGAAAUCCCACGGCUCACCCGUGUGAAUUGCCCCGCAUACUGCGUUGCUCGAGUGUGGUAGGGGAGAGCGGAACUCCUGGUGGAGCGGUGAAAUGCGUAGAUAUCAGGAGGAACACCGGUGGCGUAGGCGGCUCUCUGGUCCAUAACUGACGCUGAAGUGCGAAAGCUAGGGUAGCGAACGGGAUUAGAUACCCCCGUAGUCCCUGAGCGGGCUGGCAAGGCGCAU
rnacentral:rRNA from 1 species